rnacentral:lncRNA from 1 species
GAUCGCUCUCCGGCCGUCCCCGGCACCCUCGGCCCCCCACGGCGGUUGGUCCGGGCGGGGGAAGGAGAAAGUGAGACUCGGGGUCAUCACCAAUCCAUCGCCAGAAGGGGAGGAAAUUGGAAUCCAGCAGCGGCGAGCAGCAGCUGGGCGGUCACAUCUGGAAAUGGAAAGCCGACCUCCCCCUCCUCCUCCACCACCUCCUCCUCCUCCUCCUCUCACCCAGGAUCACUUCCGAAACCACUUGGCCUUCAGCCCCUGCCUCGGCCAGAGGGAUUUAUUUAAUGGGGAUGUGUUCAAGGCAAGACCGAAUUCAGAAGGAUAUCGACGUCGUGAUCCAGAAGUCCAGAGCUGAGGACUGCCUGUUUGCAGGUGAGUUCUUGCUUUUCCAGAACCUCGGACCCAGCGCCCCCUUCCCAGUUCUCUGACCGCGACGUGUGUG